rnacentral:lncRNA from 1 species
GAAACAAAUCUAAUGGAGGAAACAAACAGGAUUUUGCUUUUAAAAGUAUUGUAUCAGUCAUAUAUGGAGCCAUCUACAGUGCUCUGCUGGCUGCCAUACCUCUGGAAACACAUCACACCAAAGUGUUGUAAGCUUGGAAAAGCUACCACCAAAGGGAGCUUGUACCAGAAAGCAACUGGGAAGGAAUAUCCCACUGCAUAUCAACAUACCAAAGGUAUUCAGUGGAAAGCAUGCAGACCAUGCUGGAGGAAAAGAUAACAAAGGUAGGCAUUUGAGAAAGAACAUGUCACAGAUUUCCAUGGCUUUGGAACACUGGAAUUAAUGCAAAAUCCUCAAUGCCCAUCAGCCAGAACAGAUCUUUCAACAGGAACAGAGUCCUCCUGAGGUUGGCAGGAUUUUUCAAGGUGCAGGGGUGAGAUAUCUAAUUGCAAAGUCUGUUACUAGGUGACACAUCAAGUCCUGACAAACUAUAAUGAGUAUUUUGAUAUAUCAGUGUAUGCAGCAAACCGCGCAAAAAAAUCCACUUUCACCAGCUCCACCCUCUGUUUGUUUUCAAUGACUGAGGCAUAGGGCCCCCAGAAUACACAUGCCUAGAGAAAUCUCCUGGAGACCAGAAAGUCGAGGAUUCAAGGAGGCCAGAAGGUCAAGGAUUACAUUUUCUGUAGGAAGUGAAGAAACAUGAAAACUGC